UACGCGAGUGAUACCUUUGGAGCGAACGGAAGAAUGAUGGUUUCUAAAAUGUGUUGACCUGGAUCAACAGAAUCUCCUAAGAAGAGAUAGUCAACAGAUCUGAUAGAGGAAGCAGAUAAAAUAGCAUGACAAGUCGGAAAUUGUGAUAGGUGAACAACUUACCAACAGAUCUAGGCUGGAAUGUUCAUCAUUUCUUUUGGCACAAGCCUACCUAUCAACUCAAUCAUACGUCGAUCUAGUGAACCAGCUGCGAUUUGAUCUAUCAACAAAGAUAAACUCGAAGCAUCAAGUGAGUAACUCCUUCCAUCCAUUUCAUGUAAAAGCAUCUCUACAUCAUCAAAGUGCUUGUUCCUAAGAUAUCCUUGGAGAAGAACAUUGUAGGUAACACUAUCUGGUGGGCAGCCACUCUCAUCCAUUUUAAGAAACAAGAGCUUUGCUUCCUUUAGCUGACCUUCUCUACAGAGGCCACUAAUCAUUAUGUUAAAUGUUCGCACAGUCAGGCUGCAAACCUUUUAAAGUUAGGUCAUGGAAAAGAGUCUUCGCAGUAUCAAGCUUCCCACAUUUGCUUGCACCUUCAAUAAGAAUAUUGUACACCACGACAUUAUAAUUUAGCUUGCUCUCACCCACCAAAUGAAACAUAGAGAGCGCCUCUUCUACUUGAUGGUUGUUGCAAAGGCCAUCUAAAAUUACUCCAUAUGUGUAUUCAUUUGGAAUCUGGCCUGCUGCUCGCAUCUCAUCAAAGAGCUUUCGUGCAUCUCCACAGCGUGCAACCCUAAACAAUCCCUGUAACAUGGUGCUAUGGGAGGGGUUUUCUCUGGAUCAUUUCAUCGAACAGGUUAAAGGCAUCAUCCAAGUUGGUAACUUUUUGGUACCUGGACAGAGGAGAAUCGUCAUAAUUUGAAAAGGAAGUGAAGUGAAGAAGAGAAGGUAAAGAAGUGGAGUGAGGACUGAAAUCUAAACCUAAUCGGGAAGACGAAAGAGGGGUUGUUAAAGAAUUGGUGAUGAAAUUACAUCUGAGUUUGAAGAAAGCGUGAUGAAGAUGAGAAUUGGUGCGAAUCAUCAUCAUUGUCGCAGCCUCUUAACGGAGAAGGAAAUUGAUGGUAUUCUUCUUCUCCUGUUUGGUAAGAAAUGCGAGGAAACACGCCUCUAAUUUCAUAAUUUCUUUUGAUUAAUUACACUCAGUUUUUAUGGUUUGGUAUGUGGAACUCCUAAUCCUAAUAAGUAGGACUGAAGGGUAUUUUGAUCCUUAUAAAUAGGAGUAAAAAUGACAUGUGACACCCUUUUUGUUUUUUAAAAAUACAACAAAAAAAAUCUAUUACAAAAAGAU
rnacentral:lncRNA from 1 species